CUGGGCCGAGCCAGCCCCGGGGGGAACACAUGACGAUACAGACACAGGCGGUGACCACCAUUAGUCAGCAGACCCGAAGGCAGGAAAGGAAAGUCAUAGUUGUAGCCAGUGGCAAACACCACAACAUCCACCUAGGGAAGAGAGGGAAGGUAGGGUAGAGGGGAUAAGGGAAGAGAGGGAAGGUAGGGUAGAGGGGAUAAGGGAAGAGAGGGAAGGUAGGGUAGAGGGGAUAAGGGAAGAGAGGGAAGGUAGGGUAGAGGGGAUAAGGGAAGAGAGGGAAGGUAGGGUAGAGGGGAUAAGGGAAGAGAGGGAAGGUAGGGUAGAGGGGAUAAGGGAAGAGAGGGAAGGUAGGGUAGAGGGGAUAAGGGACGAGAGGGAAGGUAGGGUAGAGGGGAUAAGGGAAGAGAGGGAAGGUAGGAUAGAGGGGAUAAGGGACGAGAGGGAAGGUAGGGUAGAGGGGAUAAGGGAAGAGAGGGAAGGUAGGAUAGAGGGGAUAAGGGAAGAGAGGGAAGGUAGGGUAGAGGGGAUAAGGGAAGAGAGGGAAGGUAGGGUAGAGGGGAUAAGGGAAGAGAGGGAAGGUAGGGUAGAGGGGAUAAGGGAAGAGAGGGAAGGUAGGAUAGAGGGGAUAAGGGAAGAGAGGGAAGGUAGGAUAGAGGGGAUAAGGGAAGAGAGGGAAGGUAGGGUAGAGGGGAUAAGGGAAGAGAGGGAAGGUAGGGUAGAGGGGAUAAGGGAAGAGAGGGAAGGUAGGGUAGAGGGGAUAAGGGAAGGUAGGGUAGAGGGGAUAAGGGAAGAGAGGGAAGGUAGGGUAGAGGGGAUAAGGGAAGAGAGGGAAGGUAGGGUAGAGGGGAUAAGGGACGAGAGGGAAGGUAGGGUAGAGGGGAUAAGGGAAGAGAGGGAAGGUAGGGUAGAGGGGAUAAGGGAAGAGA